CCUUAACAGGGAUUUUGAUACCCUGGUAGUCCAUGCCGUAAACGUUGGGCACUAGGUGUGGGGGACAUUCCACGUUUUCCGCGCCGUAGCUAACGCAUUAAGUGCCCCGCCUGGGGAGUACGGCCGCAAGGCUAAAACUCAAAGGAAUUGACGGGGGCCCGCACAAGCGGCGGAGCAUGCGGAUUAAUUCGAUGCAACGCGAAGAACCUUACCAAGGCUUGACAUGAACCGGUAAUACCUGGAAACAGGUGCCCCGCUUGCGGUCGGUUUACAGGUGGUGCAUGGUUGUCGUCAGCUCGUGUCGUGAGAUGUUGGGUUAAGUCCCGCAACGAGCGCAACCCUCGUUCUAUGUUGCCAGCGCGUUAUGGCGGGGACUCAUAGGAGACUGCCGGGGUCAACUCGGAGGAAGGUGGGGACGACGUCAAAUCAUCAUGCCCCUUAUGUCUUGGGCUUCACGCAUGCUACAAUGGCCGGUACAAAGGGUUGCGAUACUGUGAGGUGGAGCUAAUCCCAAAAAGCCGGUCUCAGUUCGGAUUGGGGUCUGCAACUCGACCCCAUGAAGUCGGAGUCGCUAGUAAUCGCAGAUCAGCAACGCUGCGGUGAAUACGUUCCCGGGCCUUGUACACACCGCCCGUCAAGUCACGAAAGUUGGUAACACCCGAAGCCGGUGGCCUAACCCCUUGUGGGAGGGAGCUUCGAAGUGAUCCCC
rnacentral:rRNA from 1 species